rnacentral:tRNA from 1 species
AGCUUAAUGGUAAAGCACCCAACCGGCAAUUGGGGGAUCUGGGUUCAAGUCCCGA